CGGGGCGUGGCCUAGCCCGGAUAAGGCGCUUGACUGGGGGUCAAGAGAUCGCUGGUUCAAAUCCAGUCGCCCCGACCA
rnacentral:tRNA from 1 species